CCCAUUUUACAGGGGAAGAAACUAAAGCCCCAAGGCCUGGCUGACUUGCUCAAGGUCACAGAGGAAGUAAAUGGUGGAGCCUGGAUUCGGACCCCACAGACUGGCUUCCGUGAUGUGGCUUAACAGCCACAGUUUUACCCACCUCUUUGCUGGGUGCUGGGGUGCAGCGAUGAGAUCGACUGGAGGAGUUCCUGUCCCGGGGGCUCAGAAGCAGGUGGAAGGGAGUCAUAAAGAAAAACAAAGUGAAUCAGAACAGAAACAAUAUGUGGCCCACAAAGCCUAAAAUAUUUACUACCUGGACCUUGAAGGAAAAAGUUUGUUGAUACCUGCUAUAAGCCAUCAAAAUGUCAAGGAUUUUUGUUACACAACAUUAUUGCACAAAUAGAGAUCAUCAAACCAAAACUCUCAAAAGCGGAAUGUCUCACCAGGACUUUCCAAAGUCUUAUUGUUUUGCCUUCACCACAAAGAAAUCCUCUCCAAGCUGAAGAUGAUAUUUAAGGUGGUGACUUCAGCCAUUUUGGUGAGUUCCUCAGUUUGCCUGAGCCUAUCCCAUGUAUACAUGUUAUAAAGCUGUGUUUAAU
rnacentral:lncRNA from 1 species